GGUGCGACCGUGUCCCUGUCGGAGACAGUGCAGAAAUGGCGAGAAUACCGACGCCAGUGCCAGCGCAACCUGACAGAGAUGCCACCCCCAGCCACAGGCCUGUUCUGCAAUCGGACCUUUGAUGACUACGCCUGCUGGCCAGAUGGGCCACCAGGCUCCUUUGUGAACGUCAGCUGCCCCUGGUACCUGCCCUGGGCCAGCAGUGUGCUGCAGGGCCAUGUGUACCGGUUCUGCACCCCAGAGGGCCUCUGGCUGCACAGGGACAACUCCAGCCUGCCCUGGAGGGACCUGUCGGAGUGUGAGGAGUCCAAGCGUGGGGAGAAAAGCUCCCCGGAGGAGCAGCUCCUGUCCCUCUACGUCAUCUACACAGUGGGCUAUGCACUCUCCUUCUCCGCCCUGGUCAUUGCCUCCGCCAUCCUCCUCAGCUUCAGGCACCUGCACUGCACCAGGAACUACAUCCACCUGAACCUCUUUGCCUCCUUCAUCCUGCGAGCCCUGUCCGUCUUCAUCAAGGACGCUGCCCUCAAGUGGAUGUAUAACACGGCCGCUCAGCAGCACCAGUGGGAUGGGCUCCUCUCCUACCAGGACUCCCUGGGCUGCCGGCUGGUGUUCCUGCUCAUGCAGUACUGCGUGGCAGCCAACUACUACUGGCUGCUGGUGGAGGGCGUGUACCUCUACACCCUGCUGGCCUUCUCCGCCUUCUCCGAGCAGCGAGUCUUCAGGCUCUAUCUGAGCACAGGCUGGGGUGUUCCCCUGCUGUUUGUUAUCCCCUGGGGCAUUGUCAAGUACCUCUAUGAGGACGAGGGAUGCUGGACCAGGAACUCAAACAUGAACUACUGGCUCAUUAUCCGACUGCCCAUUCUCUUUGCCAUUGGGGUGAACUUCCUCAUCUUCAUCCGGGUCAUCUGCAUCGUGGUGUCCAAACUGCAGGCCAACCUCAUGUGCAAGACAGAUAUCAAGUGCAGACUGGCCAAGUCUACACUGACGCUCAUCCCCCUACUGGGGACCCACGAGGUCAUCUUUGCCUUUGUGAUGGACGAACAUGCCCGGGGGACCCUGCGCUUCAUCAAGCUGUUCACAGAGCUCUCCUUCACCUCCUUCCAGGGGCUGAUGGUGGCCAUCCUGUACUGCUUUGUCAACAAUGAGGUCCAGAUGGAGUUUCGGAAGAGCUGGGAGCGCUGGCAGCUGGAGCAUCUGCACAUCCAGAGGGACAGCAGCAUGAAGCCCCUCAAGUGCCCCACCAGCAGCCUGAGCAGCGGGGCCACCGUGGGCAGCAGCGUGUACGCCGCCACCUGCCAGGCCACCUGCAGCUGAGACCCCAGCACUGCCCUCCCUGCGGUCCUUGCCGCUGGCCCAGUGGCCACGCCAGGUUCUGAGUUGUUUUUGUGCCUGCUUCUGCCAUACCUGGGAUCCAGGGCUAGGGCCAAGGAGCCCAGCCCAAUUCUGUCCUUGAAAAGAUGCUCAAGGAUCCUCUGGGGUUCAUCUAGUGACACUUAAAGAAUGUCCCCACUGUGGAUGUCAACGACCUGCUACUCCUGGGAAUCCAGAGGACUAGGCGAUCCUUUGUGGAAAUGCUUUCUAUCUAUGACCGGAUUCCUGUUCUUGAAUGGGAGUUGGGUGCAUCCCCUAAAUCUAGGGGAUGUGACCGAGACGAGACUCCAGGGGAAACCAACAAUCCCCAUCAUUACCAUAGCAACAGGCUCCCCCUGCCCUUGGGGGCUUGUUUAUACUUUAUUCACUUUUCUUUAUUGCUGUGAAUAGUCUGAAUGUACAAA